rnacentral:rRNA from 1 species
AAUGAACGUUGGCGGCGUGGAUUAGGCAUGCAAGUCGUACGGGUCGGUGUAGCAAUACAACGGCAAGUGGCGACAGGGAGAGUAACACGUAGAUACCUACCCCCUGGUCGGGGAUACCGCAGCAUAACCGCAAGUAAUACCCGAUACAAUCUCAGGAUCAAAGGUGUGAUUCCGCCGGAGGAGGGGUCUGCGUUCUAUCAGCUUGUUGGUGAGGUAAUGGCUCACCAAGGCUAAGACGGAUACGGGGUGUGAGAGCAUGCCCCCGCUCACUGGGACGGAGACACUGCCCAGACACCUACGGGUGGCUGCAGUCGAGAAUCUUCGGCAAUGGGCGCAAGCCUGACCGAGCGACGCCGCGUGCGGGAUGAAGGCCUUCGGGUUGUAAACCGCUGUCGAGGGGAAUGAAGUGUAGGUGGGUACUCCCAUCUAUUUGACAGAUCCCUGGAGGAAGCAUGGGCUAAGUUCGUGCCAGCCGCCGCCGUAAGAC